GAGCAGAGCUGUGUGUGAUCUUGACAUGGCGGUGAACUUGGUUGUGAGGACGGUGACAUGACUUUCUCACUGAAGCGAUGGAUUCACGCAGCAGAGGGAGUGAGCUGGCUGGGACGGGCUCAUCUGCUCAUGGAAAAGAGAACCACUGAGCUAUCUGUUUAGAACCCACUGCGUGUGUUUUCCUUGGAACAGAAACAGCAUUUUAACACUGGUUUCACUGAUUAUGAGAAAUUGAUUCCUGGCUGCCAACCAUACGCCCUCUCUUCAUUCCCCAGUAUGGGACGUGGGAUAGAUGGUGCCAAGCUGAUACAAGUCCACAGUGCUUUCUUUCCUACGGAAGCGCCAUCGGAACCCUGUGAGACUUUACCAGGAACCCAUAACAUUGGACUUGCUGCAGGGUGAUAACAGACCUGAAGGCCAAGGUGUUUCCUGUGGUAACACAUGGGUACCAGGUACCACCUUCUCCGCCAAGGUAUCACCUGGGAAAGCAGACCUACUUUGUGAAAAAUGUCAAGUGACUUCUUUGAACAGCCUUGUCUGCAGGAGACAUUUAAUUCAGAAGUUAGUUGAACCUCGCUCACUCUUCAAAGAAUAUUGAUCAACUUAGCAAAGUGCUAUGUGAAGACUUAAGAUGGGGUAAAAGCAGACAUCAUGUGAGACUUGCCAUCUGAUGAGAGAUGACCUUCACAACAUUGAACUGAGAACAGUUGUCUAUGUGACCAGUGGACAAAGGCAGAUCUCCCUAAAUUCAUUCUAAGCCUGUUGCAAUGUCUUGGAAAAUCCACUUCUUAUAGAAACUCAGUUUGAAACUAUGUGCACAAUCUUUUCCCUUUGCCUCUUUCCAAGAUUUCUCCAUUGUAGGUGUUCAAGACUAGCCAAGAUGUGCUUAAAGAGACCUUAACUCUUCUUCACGUGAAGACAACAAAAGAAUGAACAGAUGGAGUUCCAUUUCACACAACCUAAUGCCCACGGAAUGUGAUUCCUGAUGGAUUUGGUUUUGUCCAGUCUAGCAAAUGACUGUUAUCCCUCAUGGUCAAAGACCAGAGGCAGAAACUGGGAGAAAAUGGUCGUCAAUUUCUGCAACCAGGUUACGGGGAGAUGGGUUGGCAUCAUUACCAAAAACCUGCUAAAAGCAACACAAACUCUUUUCAGUAUUUGUACCCCAAAUUUAUAGCCCUUCACCCACCCAUUGUUAAGCUUAAGAUUAAGACGUUCAAGUACAGUUUCAGGCUGACUCAA